rnacentral:rRNA from 1 species
AUGAAUCUUCUAAGUUGGAACUGCCGGGGUGGGGGGAACUCCCGGACAGUUCAUGACUUGGCAACUUUGGUUCAGUCGCAUUCCCCCAAAGUGGUGUUUUUGUGUGAAACUCGGCAGUCUAAAACUCGCAUGAAAAGGUACCAAGUUCGGCUGGGACUACAAGGUUUUGAUGCAGUUGAUAGUAUUGGUAAUAGUGGUGGCCUUGCGUUAUUUUGGCAUGAAUCCCUAUCUGUUGAGGUGGUUUUCUCAAGUUAA